CUGACCCCAUGCCGAACUCAGAAGUGAAACGCCGUAGCGCCGAUGGUAGUGUGGGGUCUCCCCAUGCAAGAGUAGGGAACUGCCAGGC
rnacentral:rRNA from 1 species